GGGCCCGCACAAGCGGUGGAGCAUGUGGUUUAAUUCGAUGAUACGCGAGGAACCUUACCAGGGCUUAAAUGUAAGUUGCAUUAGUUAGAGACAGCUAUUUCUUCGGACUACUUACAAGGUGCUGCAUGGUUGUCGUCAGCUCGUGCCGUGAGGUGUCAGGUUAAGUCCUAUAACGAGCGCAACCCCUGUUGUUAGUUGCCAUCGAGUCAUGUCGGGAACUCUAACAAGACUGCCGGUGCAAACCGUGAGGAAGGUGGGGAUGACGUCAAAUCAUCACGGCCCUUACGUCCUGGGCUACACACGUGCUACAAUGGCCGGUACAGAGAGCAGCCACUACGCGAGUAGGCGCGAAUCUUCAAAGCCGGUCUCAGUUCGGAUUGGAGUCUGCAACUCGACUCCAUGAAGUUGGAAUC
rnacentral:rRNA from 1 species